UGGAGAUUUCCAGAGAGCUGUAGUAAGGAUUCUCUCUGAAAACAUCCUCAUUCCAUCACAAGAAGCUGUCUGGAUACCACAUAUCAAAACGCUACCUUGCACAUAGUGUUCAGUCACUUCACAACUGUCUGCUGCCCGUGUAUGUCAACCAUUUGCUUUUUAUAUAGCUAUUAAUAUUUUUUCCAGCUUUUUUUUUUCUGCUUGCAUUAAAUUGUUGUUAUUAAAUUGUUGGUAUUACUGAGCAGAACUGUGAAGCAAUAUUGUGUUUUAAGCAGCAAUCUAAAGCAUGAAAGCAAAUCCAUUAUUUUAUUUAUUUAUUUAUUUUUAUUUUUCGCAGAGCCUUCAAUUCAGUGUAGUCUCCAGACAACGCAGAAGGAAGAACCUUAUUUCUUAUGACUUCUACCAAAGAACAUAGCUGAAAGACCUCCACACCACCAGAUAAGAUCCUGAACUAAAGGACUUUUGGUCCAACUCGGUAAAUUCUUACCUUACAACAUUUUUGUGUUUAAUGUUUUUUUUUUGUUUGUUUGUUUGUUUUGUUUUUUCUUAGAAAUUUAAAGUGUAAGCUUUAAAGCCUCCACUUCUGGUGAAGAUAUUACAUGUAUCCCAAUGAUACAGGCCUAGAUGUGAAUGCCUGGUCACUCAGAUGAGCAAUGCUGUUAAAAAUGCUUUUAUUACUGUAGCUGUUCACCAACACAGGUUGCAUGCUAACUGGACUAUAUGAGUAGAAAUUGGAAAACAUUUUAAAAAUAGGUUUUAGCCAAAGUAAACUGCACUUGCAGCAUCUAAAAAUAUGAAGUUAACAGUGGUUAGCUGUAACCUCUUCCAUCACUUCUAACCUAGCAAGGUUUCUUAAGGAAGUGUUAUCAGCCAUUUGAGUGCUUUAUAAUUGUAGAGGGAUCUUCAGUCUUUAAAGCUAUUUUCUUGAUACCUGACUGGGGCAAAGCCACAAAAGAUUUAAAUCCAUCUCCACUUUAAAAUAUUGUCAUACCCUCAAGCAACAAGUGAGGAAUUCUUCUCAUCUCGAAGUCAGUGGUUUUGUGAGGAUAGCAGAAAGUGGAAUAUGAGGUUGUGGUUUAUACAGAUAAUUAUCUGAAGUCAUAGUGGCCUUUGUUGAAAACUGCACUGAAGAAUAAUGAAGCACUAUAUAAACUGUGCAUCCUAAAGGGAAGGCAAAUGUACAUAAUGGCAUCAAAGUCCAUUAAUUCCUAAUAGGUCCUGUCACAAAGGGGACCUUUGCUAUUAAAUGAUUAAUUCAGUCCACUGAGAUAUUUUUAUCUCAAAAACUCUACAUUCACAG
rnacentral:lncRNA from 1 species